CAAUGAGCGAAAGUCCAGAGGGCUUUGUUCAGAGACUCUGCCUCAUAGGUGGUGCUGAGAAUUCAGUGUUUCUUUCCUUUUCUGCAGCACAGUGGUGUUAAGUCAGCCCGGCAGCUCCCUGGUCUUUUCUUUGAAGGAUGCUGUCACCAUGAUUUAACACAGCCUGGGAGAACUUCUAUAGAGCUGUAUACAUGAGGUCACCUGAUCUUGGACUUUAGCCUGUAGUGACCCUGUUCCAUGCUUUACGAGAGACAAAUCCGGAAAAGGAGGUGCUUACAGCUCACAUCACCCCCCUUCAGGCUCGGAAACCUCAGGCUCAGAGGCUCUGCCCUCCUUUUGUGCACCUUCUCCAGGAUCCAGGGUCUCCUCAUGACCCCAGGUGUCACUUCCUUUCCAUUUCCUGGGUGUUCACAGCUGAGAGUUUUCAUUGGAUCUCAGAAAAGACUGGACAUUAGAGUUUUAAGUAGCAUCAGUUUUCCCUUCAUGUAUUUUAGGGUUCUGCUGUUAGGUAUGUAUUUUUUUUAUAUUGUAUCUCAUCUGUUGGAUUUACACUUGGCUCAUAAAACAUCAUUGUCUCUAGU